CAAGUACUCCCUCCGUCCCAAAAUUCUUGUCUUAGAUUUGUCUAGAUACGGAUGUAUCUAAUACUAAAAUGUGACUUGAUACAUCUGUAUCUAGACAAAUCUAAGACAAGAAAUUUGGGACAGAGGGAGUAGUUG
rnacentral:pre_miRNA from 1 species